GGCCUCUUAGUCUAGUGGUUAGGACACUCGACUUUGACUCGAGAGACACGAGCUCGAAUCUCGUAGGGGCCU
rnacentral:tRNA from 1 species